rnacentral:rRNA from 1 species
CCUACGGGGGGCAGCAGUGGGGAAUAUUGGGCAAUGGGCGCAAGCCUGACCCAGCAACGCCGCGUGAAGGAAGAAGGCUUUCGGGUUGUAAACUUCUUUUCUCAGGGACGAAGAAAGUGACGGUACCUGAGGAAUAAGCCACGGCUAACUACGUGCCAGCAGCCGCGGUAAUACGUAGGUGGCAAGCGUUAUCCGGAUUUAUUGGGUGUACAGGGCGUGUAGGCGGGAGCGCAAGUCAGAUGUGAAAACUCAGGGCUCAACCCUGGGCCUGCAUUUGAAACUGUGUUUCUUGAGUGCUGGAGAGGCAGUCGGAAUUACGGGUGUAGCGGUGAAAUGCGUAGAGAUACGGAGGAACACCGGUGGCGAAGGCAGAUUGCUGGACAGUAACUGACGCUGAGGCGCGAAAGCGUGGGGAGCAAACAGGAUUAGAUACCCGAGUAGUC